rnacentral:rRNA from 1 species
AUGGACCACCCCCCGCGCCACGGCCUCCCGCCGUCCUCCUCCUCCUCCUCCUCCGGCGCUGCCGCGGCGGCGCCGGCGACCUCGCCGGAGUUCUUGCUGCCGCCGAGCCGCCUCCCGCUGGAGGACAUCCUCUUCUGCGUCGACGUGGACGCCGAGGCGCGCUCCGAGAUGAAGGUCGCCGCCGCGUCCGCGUCCCCCGCCUCCUCCGGCUCCACCGGCUCCCCCGGCCCCGGCGCGCUCAUGGAUCCGGCGGCGCCCCCCCGCCCCGCGCGCCCGGCGGUGCGGCGGAUGGACGCCGUCAAGCAGGCGCUCAUGCUCUUCCUCCACAGCAAGCUCACCAUGUGCCCCGACCACCGCUUCGCCUUCGCCUCCCUCCGCGACACCGUCUCCUUGAUAAGCAAAGAAUUCACCAGUGAUGCUGCUUCUUCAAUUGAUACAAUCCGGUCGUUGGCUGCUACUGAAACGAGAUAUGCAGUGGCUGAUCUCACUCAUCUCUUCAAGAUAGCGUACGAGGAAGGGAAAAGGGCAGAAACGCAAGGGCGACUACUUAGAGUGGUGCUCAUCUACUGCCGGUCCUCAACCAAGCCCCACCAUCUGUGGCCCGUAAAGCCAAAGAACUUCACCAUGGACAUAGUCUAUCUGCACGACAAGCCUACUGCUGAUAACUGCCCACAAAAUGUGUAUGACGCGCUGGUUGAUGCCCUCGAGCAUGUCAGCCAGUACGAGGGCUACAUUCUUGAGAGCGGCCAAGGGCUUGCCCGGGUCCUGUUCCGCCAGAUAUGCAUCAUCUUAUCACACCCCUUGCUACGCUGCAUGCAAGAUGACCUUGAUAUACCCAAGCAAGUUGUUAAGAAAAUUCUGGCCAUUGAAGGUGUGCAGAGCGAAGAUGGCGCUCCGGCCUCCGGCAGCCAGUAG